GCUGUUCAUGCAGAAGCUACAGCAGUGCUGCAAAUUGUUCGACUUCUACGACACAGUGACUGACCUAAAGAGCAAAGAGACCAAACGGGCCACUCUCAGCGAACUCGUGGAUUAUGUGUCCACUAACAGAGGCGUUCUGGUGGAGCCCGUCUAUCCCGAAAUCACCACAAUGGUCAGCACAAACAUUUUCAGAACACUUCCACCCAGUGAAAACCCAGACUUUGAUCCAGAAGAAGAUGAACCCACGCUUGAAGCCUCCUGGCCACACAUGCAGUUGGUGUAUGAGUUUUUCCUUCGAUUCCUUGAAAAUCCAGACUUCCAGCCAAGCACUGCCAAACGUUAUAUUGACCAGAAGUUUGUGCUACAGGUACUUUUGUGUGUGUUUGUUUUUUUUGUUUGUUUUUUUUGUUACAAGAAUUUUUGUUGGGAUUACAAGAAGCUAUUUUUUUUAGGUGUAUAGGAUUAGGUGUAUAGAAUAAUUUGUCAUCCCCCAGGCAAUGGGAGAUUCAUUCAGUUAACAUGGCAGCAUCUAGUUAAAA
ensembl:processed_transcript